rnacentral:lncRNA from 10 species
CUAAUGUGUACGUGCAAUGUUAUAAUUACCUUUCCUUUUGACAAGGAUGCGUUAAGUGUGGCUGUAAUAUGGGAACUCCUUUCAGCUUUCAUUAACUCAAUAUAAAUCCAAAGCUUGCAGAUUCAGCAGAGUUGUCUAUAGUGGCUUAAUUGGAAUUGCUGGACAAGAACAUUGAUUCUGCUUCACUCAGGUAAAGAUGAAAGUAACUGCAACAAUGGAUAUUGCAUUUGAAGGUCAUUGAGUUGUAGUCAGGCAAGGGGAGCAGAUAUUAAAACAUACACGCACAAAAUAAUGGGAUUUUUAUUUAGCAUCUCGCAAGUCUUGAGUAACAUAGUAUUAAUUGACCUUGAGAUUUCAUUCUUUUGUGACUCAUUGCAUUUGCUUUUGUGUUUCAGAUUAAUAUAGAAUAUUUUAAAGAAAGAGUAAUACAGCCAAUUUUAAUCUCUGGGAAGUUUAUGCAAGACAUAAUUUAUUUGUAAACUUUAUAAUAAUAUGUGAAUUAAAGACCCUUGUUAGUUUGGUAUGAAUCUGACAUAAGGGCUAAAAUCACUUUUUCAUUAGCCUUCUCCUGAUCUCAGGUUUACACCUAAGAGAUUCUUCACUCCAAAGUCUUCAUUUCCAAGCACAACCUGCUGGGUGCUGCGCUUUUCUGAGGUCUCCUCCCCAGCUCUGCAUCUAGCAGUGCUCAUGAUGCAAUGAUUUCCUGUCUGACUAUCCCAUUCCUAUCCUUUGCAAAGUUCACAUAGACCCAUUUGAGUACACUUUUAGUAGCAUACCAAGUUUAAGUGCCAAAGUUGUGUUUUAGUUCUUUCAUCCAGAAAGAAAACAUCAGCUGUUUCAAAUUUUAGAGUCCAGCUUGGGCAACAAGAGAAUUGUCAUGUCGUCGAUUGUGUAGUAAGACACAGUGAGUGUCCAGCAAUGUAAAAUCAGUCUAUAAAUGAGAAGAUUAAGACCAAAAGCAUCGGGUUACAAACAUCUCACUAAAGCCCAUUAGCAGGCAGAGAGCUCUCCGCGGAGCUAGAAAAUGAGACUUUUCCCUCCUUUCUGCCCCAUACAUUAGUGCUGAUCUCAGGAGCUCAUUUUUGCACCCUUUGUGGCAGACAACCAUAUAAUCAAAGGGUUCCCAUCACUAAAUCAUUUGAAAAGACAAGUAGAAAUUAGCUUUAGCUAAUUUAACUAGCCUUUGCCCCUCCUCCUGACCCUGAGGGUGAAGCACAUUUUAUCAUUCAUCCUCUGGGGGCUGGCUUAUGCUGGCUCCCUUUCCUUUGGCAGUGAUUUUAAGCAACCAAGUUCUUAUUACAAUUCUCAAAUUUAAAAUUAAGUUCUGAUCACAUCUUCUCAGGGCAUACCUAAGAGGCAGUGUUUAUCCCCAGCCAAAUCAAUUGUUUCCUCAAGUGACUCAUUCCUGAAAAUGUUAUUGUUUCUAAUAACCAGCUCAAAUAUGUAUUUUCAUUAAUCUUUUCUUUUACCUCCAUUUCACACGUGUUGCUGCAUGUCAGGCAGUUUCCACAAGGAUCUGCCAUGACAUCAUUGUGUGAGGUAUGAAAAAAAAAUUUUUUUUUUUCUAAUUUAAGAAUUACUUUUACUCAGAUGGUGGCUGGGCUGGGAAAUGUUCCCCAUUGCCCUGGGAGUUUUAGGCCAAGGCUUGUGUGUGUGUGUGUGUGUGUGUGUGUGUUGGAAGGGUCUCUCAUUGCCUAUUUCUGCUUAUAUAACACACACUGGUUUAGGUAGGUGGAGUCAGAAUGGGAAGAGGAAGUUCCCUAAGUGUUUCUUGCAUGCAAAGGUAAGUGGAGAAUGCCCAUCUGGGCACACAGGGCAAGGAUGCAGUGGAGUGACCUCUCCUUUCCCCUCCAACUCACAUGCUGGAGUUUAAAAACUGUAUCAGGAUGACAGAAACCAAGGGACGCCAAGCACUGCAUCCUGUCUGCUUCUUGAACAGCCCCUUCAUUGUUUGUUCAGCUAUUCUGCUGCAUCUGCAGAUAGCCCUGCCUGAGAAACAGCCUCAAACCAGAAGGAGAGGAUGGCGGCAAGCCUUAGAGAAACAUAGCCAGUUGGAGUGUGAGGCUUCAGAAUCGCCUUCCAACUCUCUGUGCACUGCACCAGCUGCUUCCCAUAGACUCCUGGUAAAAUAUAGAGCGGAAGGAAGAAGAGCCACUACCCAUAACAUCAGUGGCUGCUAACUAAGGAGUGUUUUGACAUGCUGGUACAGCCUAUCCUCAGCUUUCCAGAAGGUGGAAUCUUGUGAUAGUGGAAAGAAGUAGAAGAGAUGAAG